rnacentral:rRNA from 1 species
AUGUUGGAGGGCCAACACAUGGAGACGAAGAACUCCAAGAAACAAGCAUUGGCCAAAGUGUUUAGGACGUUGGCGGAUGAACUCCUCAAAGGAAGUUGGAAGAACGACAAGGGCCCCACCGUGCCUACCCCAGGAACUCUGAUUGCCACCUAUGUGAGGCUCAAGACCGAGUUUGAGGAGAUAGUCGCCGUUGAGAAGCAGUAUUCCCCUGGCAAGGUGAUGGCCCCCAUCGAGGACGAGGAGAUGGCCCCCGGAGGGAUGAGAUCCCCCGGUGAGCUGCACAAGGUAAAAAAUAAUGGCUUAUUACCAUAG